AACGAACGCUGGCGGCAUGCCUAACACAUGCAAGUCGAACGAAACCUUCGGGUCUAGUUGCGCACGGGUGCGUAACGCGUGGGAACCUGCCCUUAGGGUCGGAAUAACUCCCCGAAAGGGGUGCUAAUACCGGAUAAUGUCUUCGGACCAAAGAUUUAUCGCCUUUGGAUGGGCCCGCGUUGGAUUAGCUAGUUGGUAGGGUAACAGCCUACCAAGGCGACGAUCCAUAGCUGGUCUGAGAGGAUGACCAGCCACACUGGGACUGAGACACGGCCCAGACUCCUACGGGAGGCAGCAGUGGGGAAUAUUGGACAAUGGACGAAAGCCUGAUGCAGCAAUGCCGCGUGAGUGAUGAAGGCAUUAGGGUUGUAAAGCUCUUUUACCCGGGAUGAUAAUGACGGUACCGGGAGAAUAAGCUCCGGCUAACUACGUG
rnacentral:rRNA from 1 species